CUAGCGGUAUGCUUAACACAUGCAGGUCGUACGGAAAAGAGAUUUUUAGUGGCGAACGGGUGCGUAACACGUAAGAAUCUGCCUUUAGGAAGGGGAUAACAUUUAGAAAUAUUUGCUAAUACCCUAUAUGCUUCACAGUGAAAGAAUUUAUUCGCCUAAAGAGGAGCUUGCGUCUGAUUAGCUAGUUGGUAGGGUAAAGGCCUACCAAGGCGACGAUCAGUAGUUGGUCUGAGAGGACGGCCAGCCACAUUGGAACUGAGACACGGUCCAGACUCU
rnacentral:rRNA from 1 species